UACGUAGGUGGCAAGCGUUGUCCGGAUUUACUGGGCGUAAAGGGCGCGUAGGCGGCCAUGCGUGUCUUCCGUGAAAUCCCUCGGCUUAACUGAGGACGUGCGGAAGAAACUGCAAGGCUCGAGUCCGGGAGAGGGGGGUGGAAUUCCCAGUGUAGCGGUGAAAUGCGUAGAUAUUGGGAGGAACACCGGUGGCGAAGGCGGCCCCCUGGACCGGUACUGACGCUGAGGCGCGAAAGCGUGGGUAGCAAACGGG
rnacentral:rRNA from 1 species